UACGAAGGGGGCUAGCGUUGUUCGGAAUUACUGGGCGUAAAGCGCACGUAGGCGGAUAUUUAAGUCAGGGGUGAAAUCCCAGAGCUCAACUCUGGAACUGCCUUUGAUACUGGGUAUCUCGAGUAUGGAAGAGGUGAGUGGAAUUCCGAGUGUAGAGGUGAAAUUCGUAGAUAUUCGGAGGAACACCAGUGGCGAAGGCGGCUUCCUGGCCUGCUCUUGACGCUGAGGCGCGAAAGCUAGGGGAGCAAACGGG
rnacentral:rRNA from 1 species